AAAGAGCAUAGCUACUAAUCAGAUUUCCCAUAAAGCUACCGAUAGAAAAGUUGAUAUCUGUAACGACCCAACCCGCUAGCAACAAUAACUUGUUGGGCCAAACCAUAGGCCCAAAAUGCUUAAGCCCAGUUAUUAUUACUAGUGUGUAGGUCUCAUAUAAACUGAUCGGAAUCAGUAUCCCAUCCGAUGUGGGACUAUUGGGGGCGUUACAAACUCCCCCUGUUUAGACCCUGACGUCCUCGUCGGGUUCAAACCAGAUCACAGACAGACAAACCAGGAUCAUUACCAGGCGAUGUGAGAUUCUAGAGGUGGCUCCUACGGAUUCAAGAGGUGGCUCCCACCAAACCUGUUGGUGUAGCACUUUGUCCCGCAUAGCACUUAGUUCUCACACUUCCGGCUGGUAUUCGGCUCUGAUACCAAUUGUAACGACCCGACCCGCUAGCAACAAUAACUCGUUAGGCCCAAACCACCGGCCCAAAAUGCUUAAACCCAGUUAUUAUUACUAGUGUGUAGGUCUCAUAUAAACUGAUCGGAAUCAGUAUCCCAUCCGAUGUGGGACUAUUGGGGGCGUUACAAUAUCAUACCAAAGUAUUUAAA
rnacentral:lncRNA from 1 species